GUGGAUUAGAUACCCUGGUAGUCCACGCCGUAAACGAUGAGUGCUAAGUGUUAGGGGGUUUCCGCCCCUUAGUGCUGCAGCUAACGCAUUAAGCACUCCGCCUGGGGAGUACGGUCGCAAGACUGAAACUCAAAGGAAUUGACGGGGGCCCGCACAAGCGGUGGAGCAUGUGGUUUAAUUCGAAGCAACGCGAAGAACCUUACCAGGUCUUGACAUCCCAUUGACCACUGUAGAGAUACAGUUUUCCCUUCGGGGACAACGGUGACAGGUGGUGCACGGCCGUCGACAGCU
rnacentral:rRNA from 1 species